rnacentral:rRNA from 1 species
AUGGCGGCCAUACUUGGAUCUUUGCUUGGAUCAUGUGCCAGUAAGUUGCAAAAUAUCAUUACAGAUGAGGCCAUACUAAUCCUUGGGGUGGAAGAAGAUCUCAGAGAAGUCCUGCAGCAAGUAGAACUAAUACAGUGUUGCAUAUAUGAUGCUGAGAAAAGGAGGACCAAAGAGCUAGCAGUAAACAAUUGGCUCGGCCAACUGAGAGAUGUUAUAUAUGAUGUUGAUGAAAUCCUGGACGUGGCUAGGUGUAAAGGAAGCAAGCUACUGCCCGACGAUCCUUCAUCAUCAUCAAGCAAUGCGGCUGCAUGUAAAGGCCUCUCAGUUUCCUCUUGCUUUUGUAACAUCUGGUCACGCCGUGAUGUUGCUGUUCGGAUUAGAAGCCUCAACAAAAAAAUAGUAAACAUUUUAAAGGACACGGUAUUCUUAACACUCAACACUGGUAUGCAGCCUACCAGAAAUGGUCCAACAUCCAAACUGAUAAGAAGCUCCAACCUUGUUGAGCCCAACCUUGUGGGGAAGGAGAUCAUAUAUUCUAGCAAGAAGCUGGUGGACUUAGUUGUUGCACAUAAGGAAAGUAAGUCUUACAAGCUUGCUAUUGUUGGAACAGGAGGAGUUGGUAAGACAACACUAGCUCAGAAAAUAUACAAUAACCAAAAAAUUAAAGGAAGCUUCAAGAUGCAAGCAUGGAUUUGUGUUUCACAAGACUACAAUGAAGUAACUCUUCUUAAAGAGGUUCUCCGGACUAUUGGUGUGCAUCAUGAGCAAGGUGAAACCAUAACAGAGCUCCAGAGGAAGCUUGCAGAAACAAUUGAAGGGAAGAGUUUCUUUCUGGUUCUAGAUGAUGUCUGGCAUUCCAAUGUAUGGAUGGAUCUAUUAAGGCCUGCAUUUGCAUUACAUGAAACAACAUCCGGAGUAAUAUUGUUAACCACACGAGAUGAUCAAAUUACAAGGAGGAUAGGUGUAGAGCAUACCCAUCGAGUUGAUCUCAUGUCUGUAGAGGUGGGAUGGGAGCUACUUUGGAAGAGCAUGAACAUUGAGGAAGAGAAAGAAGUGCAGAAUUUAAGAAACACGGGAAUUGAGAUUGUUCGUAAAUGUGGUCACCUCCCUCUUGCAAUCAAGGUUACCGCUAGUGCUUUGGCAAGCAGAGAUCUAACGGAGAAUGAGUGGAAAAAGUAUUUGGGCAAAUAUGCUGGUUCCCAGAACAUGCUCUUGGAUGAAAUAGAAGGAGCUUUGUAUCUAAGCUAUGAUGAGUUAACACAUCGUCUGAAGCAGUGUUUCCUUUAUUGUGCUUUGUAUGCUGAAGAUUCUAUCAUUGAGCGUGAAGAAGUUACCAGGUUAUGGAUUGCUGAAGGAUUCAUCGAGGAGCAGCAAGGCCAACUACUAGAAGACAUAGCAGAAGAGUACUACUACGAGCUAAUACAUCGGAAUCUCCUCCAGCCAGAUAUUAACAGUUUUGACCAGGCUGAAUGCAAAAUGCAUGACCUCUUGAGGCAGCUUGCUUUAAAUAUAUCAAGAGAAGAAUGUUCUGUUGGAGAUGUUGAAUUAUUAAGCGGUGAAAAUAUGUCAAAACUGCGACGUAUUACUGCUGUUAUUAAGAAGGAUAUGUUGGUGUUACCUAGAGUGGAUAAGGUGGAUGUUAAGGUGAGGACUUUCAUAACUAUUAAGGGUGCAACGAGAAUUGAGGAUACAUUGUUCAAGAGAUUCCUCCUCCUUCGUGUUUUAGUACUGAAUUACACACUUGUACAAAGCAUUCCAGGCUAUAUAGGAAAAUUGAUACAUCUACGUCUACUUAAUCUGGAUUAUACUGGCAUAUCUUGUCUUCCGGACUCCAUUGGCUCCCUAAAGAACCUUCAAGUACUGAGCCUGAAAUGGUGUCAUGAUCUGCACGGUCUUCCUUUGGCAAUGACCCUGUUGUGCAGUUUAAGAUGCCUUGAUCUUUUUGGCACAGAAAUAAAUCAGGUUCCAAAAGGCAUGGGGAAAGUGAAGCUCCUCACUUAUUUAGGAGAUUAUCCUGUUGGUGAUGGAAGUGAGAAUGCUGUUAUACAAGAUGGAUGGAACUUGGAAGAGUUGUCUUCUCUGACGCAGAUGAGGUAUCUUUCUCUUGUUAAAUUGGAAAGAGCAGCUCACUGCAGUACAAAUGCAGUGCUUACGGACAAAAAACAUCUAAAAGAACUAAUGCUAGAGUGGACUGGACGUGGAGAGGGACCAUAUUCAGAAGAACAUGUCAGCAAUGCUGAGAAGGUCUUUGAGCAGCUAAUACCUCCACCGAACCUGGAAGACCUAUGUAUUUUUGGAUUCUUUGGUCGGCGGUUUGCCACCUGGUUUGGUACCACCUAUUUGUCUUCAUUAAUAUACUUGAAACUCAUAGAUGUACGAUCAUGUGUGCAUCUUCCACCCAUCUGGCAGCUAGCCAACUUGAAAUAUCUGAGAAUUGAGGGAGCACAUGCAGUAACCAAGGUUGGACCUGAAUUUGUUGGUUGCAAGAAGGGUGAUCCUGUAUGCGAUGAGUUGGUUGCUUUCCCAAAACUUGAAUGGUUGAUCUUCCAAGAUAUGCCCAACUGGGAGGAGUGGUCUUUUUUUGAGGAAGAAGUUGCUGCUGCUGAUGGACGGGGAGAGGAUGGAGCUGCUGAGAUUCGAAAAGAGGAUGCCCAACCUGCAAGGGUGCGACUGUUGCCUCGUUUGUUGAAAUUGCAACUUCACGGUUGCCCAAAGCUGAGGGAUCUCCCGCAACAGCUUGGAAAGGACACCGCCUGUUUGAAGGUGCUUAGUUUAGUAGGACUAAACAACUUGAAGGCCGUGGAGGACCGCCCAGUGCCCUGUGAGCUCCUUGUUAUUGACGCUUGUGAAGGCCUGGAGAAGGUCUCCAACCUCCCUCGUGUGACAGAACUGCAUGUAGGUGGUUGUCCAAACUUAAGCCAUGUAGAGGGGCUGGGCAGUUUGCGGCAACUAGGGGUGGACAAGGAUAUGCAAAAGAUCUCUUCAUGCUGGUUGCAUGGGCUUCAAGAGCAGCACCAACGACUUCAUGGCGAAGAUCUGGAUAUCUAUACUCUGUUUAGGGAGUAG